UACGUAGGGUGCGAGCGUUGUCCGGAUUUACUGGGCGUAAAGGGCGCGUAGGCGGCGUGACAAGUCACUUGUGAAAUCUCCGGGCUUAACUCGGAGCGGCCAAGUGAUACUGUCGUGCUAGAGUGCGGAAGGGGCUACUGGAAUUCUCGGUGUAGCGGUGAAAUGCGUAGAUAUCGGGAGGAACACCAGUGGCGAAGGCGGCUACCUGGGCCAGUUCUGACGCUGAGGCGCGAAAGCGUGGGGAGCAAACAGGG
rnacentral:rRNA from 1 species